UACGUAGGACCCAAGCGUUAUCCGGAGUGACUGGGCGUAAAGAGUUGCGUAGGCGGCUCGUUAAGCAGAUAGUGAAAUCACGUGGCUCAACCAUUGUGGCUAUUAUCUGAACUGGCGAGCUCGAGAAUGGUAGAGGUGGCUGGAAUUUCUAGUGUAGGAGUGAAAUCCGUAGAUAUUAGAAGGAACACCAAUGGCGUAGGCAGGCCACUGGACCAUUUCUGACGCUGAGGCACGAAAGCGUGGGGAGCGAACCGG
rnacentral:rRNA from 1 species